GACGAACGCUGGCGGCGUGCUUAACACAUGCAAGUCGAACGGAAAGGCCCUGCUUUUGUGGGGUGCUCGAGUGGCGAACGGGUGAGUAACACGUGAGUAACCUGCCCUUGACUUUGGGAUAACUUCAGGAAACUGGGGCUAAUACCGGAUAGGAGCUCCUGCUGCAUGGUGGGGGUUGGAAAGUUUCGGCGGUUGGGGAUGGACUCGCGGCUUAUCAGCUUGUUGGUGGGGUAGUGGCUUACCAAGGCUUUGACGGGUAGCCGGCCUGAGAGAGUGACCGGCCACAUUGGGACUGAGAGACGGCCCAGACUGCUACGGGAGGCAGCAGUGGGGAAUAUUGCACAAUGGGCGGAAGCCUGAUGCAGCAACGCCGCGUGCGGGAUGACGGCCUUCUGGUUGUAAACCGCUGUCGCCUGUGACGAAGCGUGAGUGACGGUAAUGGGUAAAGAAGCACCGGCUAACUACGUG
rnacentral:rRNA from 1 species